rnacentral:rRNA from 1 species
AUGGAGAAAGCACGUCGAGCCAUGUUCUUCUUGUUACUGCUGAUCGCCGAUUUCAGCGUGGCCCAAGACACCGCCGGCGAAGCGGAUGAAUUCCACGUCGGGGUGAUCCUCGACCUGGGAUCGCUGGUGGGGAAAGUGGCGCGGACCAGCGUGCUGCUGGCCGCCCAGGAUUUCUACACGGUCCACCGGAACUACAGCACGAAGCUCGUUCUCCACGUUGUGGACUCCGCGGGCAGUGAUGUCCAGGCCGCAUCGGCAGCUAUUGAAUUACUGGAGAGCUACAAAGUGCAAGCCAUCAUUGGUCCCCAGAAAUCAUCAGAGGCUGUGUUCAUAUCUAAUAUUGGAAAUGUAACCCAAGUCCCCAUAAUAUCAUUCACAGCAACAAGCCCAUCCCUCACUUAUAAUAGUAUGCCGUAUUUUGUACGAGCAACGUUGGAUGACUCAACUCAGGUGAAAAGCAUUGCCGCGCUUGUACAAGCAUGUGGAUGGAGAGAAGUGGUGGCAGUAUAUGAAGACACUGACUAUGGGAGAGGCAUCCUACCAUACCUCACUGAUGCACUUCAAGAAAUUGAUGUCCGUGUUCCGUAUCGCAGCGCCAUCCCUUCGUCGGCUACAAACGAAACCAUUAUGCAAGAACUCGGUGUGUUGAUAGCAAUGCAAACAAGGGUAUUUAUUGUUCAUAUGUCAUCCAUUAUGGCUUCCCUUAUUUUUACGAAAGCAAAAGAGGUAGGGAUGAUGAACAAAGGAUUUGCGUGGAUCACUACAAAUGGAGUAGCAAACAUCAUCGACUCACUCAAUCCAAGUGUCAUUGAGGCAAUGGAAGGUGUCCUAGGAGUAAGGUGUCAUGUUCCCAGAUCACAAGAACUUGAUAAUUUAUCCAUAAGGUGGAACAGAAUGUACCAACAGGAUAACCCAUAUGAAUCACCCUUUAAUAAACUAAGCAUUGUUGGACUAUGGGGCUAUGAUACGAUAUGGGCAAUUGCACAUGCAGCAGAAAAGGUUGGGAUAUCCAGUGCUAGAGAUAAGCAACCAUGGCCCACUAAAAGCUCCACAUGCUUGGAAUCCAUGGUUAUUUCCACUAAUGGUCCUGAACUCUUAUCAGUGAUCGUACAAAAUAAGUUCAGAGGUUUAAGUGGUGAAUUUGACCUUACAGAUAGACAACAGCUUAAAGUUUCUGUGUUCCAAAUAAUAAAUGUGGUUGAGAGAGGUUGGAGAGAAAUCGGGUUUUGGACUGUGAAUGGACUUUUACGGAAGUUAAAGCGAGAUUACUCUAAAAAAACAGGACAAGCAUCAAUGCUUGAUCUAAAUCCUGUAAUUUGGCCAGGAGAGUCCACCGAAAUACCAAUGGGCUGGGAAAUUCCUAGAGUUGGUAAGAAGCUUAGAGUCGGUGUGUGCUCUAGCGAAUUUACAGAGUUUAUAAAGACAUACAAAGAUCCUAUCACAAAUGCAACAACAGCGAGUGGCCUUUCAAUUGACAUAUUUGAGGAGGCAGUAAAGAGGCUACAUCGUCCGCUUUCUUAUGAAUACCUAGAAUUUGACACUGCUGAUGCACCAAUUUCCGGAAGCUACAAUGAUUUUGUUUAUCAGGUCUACCUUCAGAAAUAUGAAAUAGCGGUUGCAGAUAUUACUAUAAGGUCCAAUAGAUCAUUGUAUGUCGACUUCACUGCACCAUACACAGAAUCUGGAGUAGGGAUGAUUGUUCCAGUCAAGGAAAACGUGAAUACAGACAUGUGGCUUUUCUUGAAACCAUUGAGCACUGAGAUGUGGUUUGGCAGCAUCGUAUGCUUUCUCUACACAGGAGUUGUUGUCUGGCUUCUAGAGCAUCUAAUUGGCAAUGAACAUGUUCAUGUUCCGUUUUCACUCAAACAGCUGGCGAUUACAAUAUUCUCCAUUUUUGAAGAGAGUUGA